rnacentral:rRNA from 1 species
GACGAACGCUGGCGGCGUGCCUAAUACAUGCAAGUCGAACGAGAGCGACCGGUGCUUGCACUGGUCAAUCUAGUGGCGAACGGGUGAGUAACACGUGGGUAACCUGCCCAUCAGAGGGGGAUAACAUCCGGAAACGGAUGCUAAAACCGCAUAGGUCUUCGAGCCGCAUGGCUUGAAGAGGAAAAGGGGCGCAAGCUUCUGCUGAUGGAUGGACCCGCGGUGCAUUAGCUAGUUGGUGAGGUAACGGCUCACCAAGGCCGUGAUGCAUAGCCGACCUGAGAGGGUGAUCGGCCACAUUGGGACUGAGACACGGCCCAAACUCCUACGGGAGGCAGCAGUAGGGAAUCUUCCGCAAUGGGCGCAAGUCUGACGGAGCAACGCCGCGUGAGUGAAGAAGGUUUUCGGAUCGUAAAACUCUGUUGUUAGAGAAGAACAAGUGCUAGAGUAACUGUUAGCGCCUUGACGGUAUCUAACCAGAAAGCCACGGCUAACUACGUG